rnacentral:rRNA from 1 species
GAUGAACGCUAGCGGCAUGCUUUACACAUGCAAGUCGAACGGUAACAGGUUAAGCUGACGAGUGGCGAACGGGUGAGUAAUGCAUCGGAACGUGCCCGGUCGUGGGGGAUAACACUUCGAAAGAAGUGCUAAUACCGCAUACGAUCUGAGGAUGAAAGCGGGGGACCGUAAGGCCUCGCGCGAUCGGAGCGGCCGAUGUCAGAUUAGGUAGUUGGUGGGGUAAAGGCUCACCAAGCCGACGAUCUGUAGCUGGUCUGAGAGGACGACCAGCCACACUGGGACUGAGACACGGCCCAGACUCCGACGGGAGGCAGCAGUGGGGAAUUUUGGACAAUGGGCGCAAGCCUGAUCCAGCCAUGCCGCGUGCAGGAUGAAGGCCUUCGGGUUGUAAACUGCUUUUGUACGGAACGAAAAGGUUUGACUUAAUACGUUGGGCUCAUGACGGUACCGUAAGAAUAAGCACCGGCUAACUACGUGCCAGCCGCCGCCGUAA